CCUACGAGUGGCAGCAGUGAGGAAUAUUGGUCAAUGGGCGCGAGCCUGAACCAGCCAAGCAGCGUGAAGGAUGACUGCCCUACGGGUUGUAAACUUCUUUUAUAAAGGAAUAAAGUGAGGCACGUGUGCCUUUUUGUAUGGACUUUAUGAAUAAGGAUCGGCUAACUCUGUGCCAGGAGCCGCGGUAAUACGGAGGAUCCGAGCGUUAUCCGGAUGUAUUGGGGUUAAAGGGAGCGUAGAGGGGUUGUUAAGUCAGUGGUAAAAGCGCGGGGCUAAACCCCGGCGAGCCGUUGAUACUGGCGAGCUGGAGUUGGAGAGAGGUACGCGGAAUGCGUGGUGUAGCGGUGAAAUGCUUAGAGAUCGCGCAGAACCCCGAUUGCGAAGGCAGCGUACCGGCUCCACACUGACGCUGAGGCACGAAAGCGUGGGUAUCGAACAGGAUUAGAUACCCGGGUAGUC
rnacentral:rRNA from 1 species